GUAGAGAUGGCUUAAUGGUUAAGAGCACUGUCUGCUCUUUCAGAGGCCCUGGGAUUAAUUCCCAGCCCCUACA
rnacentral:tRNA from 1 species